GAACAACACACACACGCAGUCUGGAAUAAAUGCAUAGUUUAUCAUAUCAUAACAGUAAAUAAAACAGUCUGGUUACAUUUAAGGACUGCAGUCUAAGUUAUAAAGUGAGGCGAAUAAACGGUUUUCUCAGAAUCAGUGUCACACUUCGUUGUAAUAUUUAUGCUAAUUUCUGUGAGGCGAUGCUAAACAACGCUAAACGCUAAAAACAAUAAUAAAGAGAGGUUAAUCAUCCACUUGGUUUAGGCUACAUCUCCUCCUGGUACCUGAAUGAAAACAGCUUCCUGCCGUGCAAAGAAAAAGAAAGAAGACAACCGUUCUGCUGCAGGAGGGGAGGUCCAUCAGUUCACUUCUUUCUUAUAUUGUUAAAAAGUUGCAGGAGUUUGUUGUCUUCCUGGGUAGAGCUCAACAGAUGCAGAGUGAUUCUCCUCCAGGGUUUUAAAGUGAUUUAAAGUGUCUUAGUUUCAGUUUUCCGCUCUUAAGAAGGUCUUAAAGCAGGGGUGUCCAAACUUUUAGCAACAUGGGCCAGAAUCCCGACGUUGAAAAUACCCAGGGGGCCAUAUUGUUUCUCCAACUUGAAAUGCAAAAUAAUUACACUUGAAAUAUGACAAAACUAACUGACAGUAAAAAAAAAAUAAAAAAUUGGCUUGGGUUAAUUUAAAAUUUUCUUAAUAUUGAUGAAAAAGUUCUAGUUCCAAUGGCGAGUUAUUCCACUUAUUUUGCUAACAAUGGUCGCUGCACCGUUACCUAGCAACCCCAGCCAAGCCCAGCCCGUAACCUAGCAACCGAAUUCUAGUUCCAUUGACAGAUUAUUUCAUAAUUUGCCAUUGGAACUGGUACAUUUUCAUCAGUAUUAAGGAAUUAUUGACAUGUAAUGAACAGUUACAUGUUGGAAAAAAAAUAGUUUUCUCUUAUUUUAAAUGUAGCCACUAAGUUAUUUGCACUAGAAGUUAGAACAGAAUUUGCUAGAUUUUGUGUUUUUGCAGUGUAACUUUGAUCAAUUUUUAAUUUUGGUUUAGAAAAUCUUUUUUAGUCUAUUUCCAGCAACAUAAAUGAGAACCUUCUUCAAAAAACAAGUUUAUUAAUAAAAUAAAUGUACACUAUCCCCCCAAGUAAAGAUUUUUAGCUGCUUAAUAUUAAAUUAAACACUCUCCAUUAUAACGGCAUUAAAUUCUGUAAAAUUUAUUUUUUUUAAAUUACCACUAAAGUGGCAAAUUAGUAGCAUUCCUGAACAGUCGGGGCCCACACAGAAUUGUUCUAAAGGCCACAACUGGCCCCCGGGCCACAUUUUGGACACCCCGGAAUUAAAGCAUGGGGGGAUUUCUGAGCAGCAAUUAUGCAUGUUUUUAAAAAACUUCUAUAAGGAUUACAGGAGCAUCAGUCAAGACGCUUUGUGGUUCAUGCAUGGAAUCAAUUCUGCUGCAGAGAAUAUGAAUAUUUAAAUAUUUCAGAAGAAAAAUGCUGAAAAACGUGAUUGUUUUUAUUUUUUAAAGGUUUUCUCACUCCAGACAAUUUAGAUGCUACCUAUAUGUACGUAUAAGGAGUGGAAAUAAUGUGGCAUUAGAGUCCAUUUCUGUCCAACAAAGAUAAAAAAAGCAGCAAGUUUUUAAAACAUUCUUCACUGAAAAAAAGAGAACAGGUGAUCCAACUUAAAAAUUAAGUUUAUCCAAGUAAAUAUAUUAAGUUUAUUACGUUGUCAUGUUAAACAAACGUAAAUGAAGUAAGUUUGACAAACUUAAUUUGAUUACGUGCAAUAAAUUAACUCUUUUUUUAAGUUGGAGCUCCAGUCACGUUCUAGAAACAGUUACACAGCUCUGAAUGCAUAACUGGACCAAAAUAAUCAAACUCUGAUCCACAUACAAACCUCGGUCUCGGUACGGUUGAAAUGAACUCUGGUGUGGUUUGAAUGCAUAUAUGAACGCCAAGCGGGCUCUAGGCCGCUCCAAAAGCAGGAUGUGGACUUCUGCGUAGGGCAUUCUGGGUAAAUACAACCAAAACUAACCUGCUAACCUGCGCUAGCAGGAAAAAUGGCUUGUAGGGUUUUUUUUUUUGUUUGUUUUGUUUUUUUAGAAAAGACGAAAGAAAAAUCCUACAACCUCUAAAAUCUGACAGUUUUGUUUACAUUUUUUGCAGAGAAGGAAGUUGGUUUCAGUGUCGUCUUCAGACGUUUUCAUGUUGUUCCCUUCAGUGGAUCUUGGUACAGCGCCCCCACAGGCGAGGAAGGGAACAGUUUGGAUGGUUUGACUCAGUGUUUCAACUGAGAUGGAAACCACUCCAAAAAGCUGGAAGUGGACUACAACGCAGGGCAUUCUGGCUCCACUUUCAAACCGCGGCGCUGAGACGAUGAGGAGCUGCUGAGGAAAUGUGAGCGGAUUAUUGAUUCCAGCAGGAUGACUGGUUCCCCUUCCCACUGGAGCCGCGCUGCAAACGGACACGCUAACGAUUUAUGGAAAGCAUCGGGAUUCAAUCAGAGAAAAGCUUCCCAACCUGAUGACGUCUGAUCCGAGGAGAGUUCGGCUUCGGCUGCCGGGGCGUCGUCGCUCCCAGCG